rnacentral:rRNA from 1 species
AUUGAACGCUGGCGGCAGGCCUAACACAUGCAAGUCGAACGGUAACAGGAAGAGGCUUGCUUCUUUGCUGACGCGUGGCGGGCGGGUGAGUAAUGUCUGUGAAACUGCCUGAUGGAGGGGGAUAACUACUGGAAACGGUAGCGAAUACCGCAUAACGUCGCAAGACCAAAGAGGGGGACCUUCGGGCCUCUUGCCCUCGGCUGUGCGCAGAUGGCAUUAGCUAGUAGGUGGGGUAAAGGCUCACCUAGGCGACGAUCCCUAGCGGGUCUGAGAGGAUGAUCAGCCACACUGGAACUGAGACACGGUCCAGACUCCUACGGGAGGCAGCAGUGGGGAAUAUUGGGCAAUGGGCGCAAGCCUGAUGCAGCAACGCCGCGUGAGUGAUGAAGGCCUUCGGGUUGUAAAGCUCUGUUAUUAGGGAAGAAAAGAAGCGUGUGAAUACCUCGGCGUCUUGACGGUACCCAAAGAGUAAGCACCGGCUAACUACGUG